GUACUACUCAGACAUUGCUGGCCCUGAGUAUGCAGCCAAGUACAAAACAUUGAUAUACCUUGCUGGUUCAGCUUCAGCAGAGGUCAUUGCCGAUGUUGCCCUUUGUCCCAUGGAAGCUGUCAAAGUUCGCGUACAGACUCAGCCUAGCUUUGCUCGUGGCUUAGCAGAUGGUCUCCCCAAGAUUGUCAGAGCUGAAGGUGCUCUUGGGUUGUACAAGGGACUUGUUCCUUUAUGGGGGCGUCAGAUUCCAUAUACGAUGAUGAAAUUUUCUACUUUUGAGAAUAUUGUGGAGAUGACGUACAAACAUAUCAUCCCUACCCCU